rnacentral:miRNA from 1 species
CCCCUUUGCUGCUACAUUGUAU